AUUUCUGCAAGCCAUUGCAGACAACAACAUUCAGGAUCACAACGUGAAGGACUUUUUGUGUCAAAUAGAAAGGUACUGUAGGCAGUGCCAUUUGACCACUGCCUCUUAAAACAUGAAGAUUUAGGUCAUGUGGCAUUAUCUUUAGUUCAUGCAGGUGCACUUGGUAUUGAGCAAAAGUCAGUGGUGGAUGUUUGUAGAGUUGUCUACCAAGCAAAAUGUUCGCUCAUUAAGACUCAUCAAGAACAGGACCGUUCUUACAAGGAGGUCUGCGCUCCUGUCAUCGAACGUUUGAGAUUCCUCUUUAAUGAAUUGAGACCUGCUG
rnacentral:lncRNA from 1 species